GUUAACAUCUCACAUUCAGUCAUUAUGUCAAGUCAUCCGACUUAGCUGAGGUAUCAUAUUUUGCGCACACACAGUUUUAUAACAGUGGACAUAGUUUAAGCACCACCACCCAACUGUCCUUUCCCGUGGACACGACUAUUCGAAUAGUUUUACACUCUGUAGAGGUUGCACACUUUACCCACAAGACUCGGGAAACUUCCGUGUCAAUCCGCGACUCACGGUCUUUUUCGUACCCGAGGUAAGUACCCGAACAAUGCCUUUCCCAUGAUGAAACUAACCAAGAGUCCACUCGUUGGUGCCAGCCCUCGUGAUGUACAUCACAAGUAUCAUCCACGAGGGCACACAAUGGUGUGCCCGGUGUCUGUGAAAACAACCCAUGUUCGUCCUUUCCAGCAUGACCCCAUAUCGAGAGUGACCACAUCACUCCCGCCACUAGCAAUGCAGACUCUCAGCCAGUACUGACCAUAAUAAUCAACAAAGCCCCGUCCCAUAAGGGGUAUCGUGGUUGUACAUGUAAUGUUGGGAACGGUCGACAAAUCUUAAAUUUAAUCCGUUUUUGAAACCACACAGUCACUUGUCUCGGUACACUACUUCUGUCUCAAGUGGUUACCUAGCUCAACAUAAUCUCCCUCGGGAAUUAGUGGCACCCGGUUUUCAAAAAG
rnacentral:lncRNA from 1 species